CAAGCCUAAUAAACAGUCUGGGACAUGCAGAGAGAGGGAAUGGGGGAGAGGAGGAGGGGAGAAGAAGGGGUAGGAGGAAAGAGAGUAGGAGAGGGAGAAUGAGAAAAGGUAGAAGAAGGAGGAGAAGAGAGUGUAGGAUCAAGAAGAAGACAGAAAGGUGAAAGGAGGAGAAGAGACUGUAGGAUCAAGAAGAAGACAGAAAGGUGAAAGGAGGAGAAGAGAGUGUAGGAUCAAGAAGAAGACAGAAAGGUGAAAGGAGGAGAAGAGAGUGUAGGAUCAAGAAGAAAGAAAGGUGAAAGGAGGAGAAGAGUGUGUAGGAUCAAGAAGAAAGAAAGGUGAAAGGAGGAGAAGAGUGUAGGAUCAAGAAGAAGACAGAAAGGUGAAAGGAGGAGAAAAGGAAGAAAGAGAGGAGAGAUGUGCAGUACCAGUGAUGUCAUCAAGCAGA
rnacentral:lncRNA from 1 species